GGGUGCUAGAGAGCUAGAGCGAGCGGUUGUGUGAUGAGCGCUUCCGCUUCCGCUGCUAGUGGGGCAAUUAUACUGCUACUAAAACCGUUCGAGCGCAAAUAAAUACCAAGAACAACAAAAAAAAACAACAACAAAACACUAACCAUUGAGCAGCGUGGAAAGAGAGAGACAGCAGUGAGAGAGUUUAGGCCGAGCAGACUAAUUGUUACCCAGC
rnacentral:lncRNA from 1 species